rnacentral:tRNA from 1 species
GUCAGGCUGGCAGAGAUAUGUGCCCGAUUUAGGCUUGGGAGAUGUGGGUGUAGAAUCCCGCGCUUGACU